rnacentral:rRNA from 1 species
CCCUUAGAUGUUCUGGGCGGCCCGCGCACUACAAUGGCGCGUUCAUCGAGAACCAAGGUUGAAUUAUUCGAGGUAUUCUUGCAAAACGCGUCUUGAUUGGGAUAGAUCCUUGUAAUUGUUGGUCUUGAACGAGGAAUUCCUUGUAAGCGUGGUUUAUCAUCCCACGUUGAAUGCGUCCCUGCCCUUUGUACACACCGCCCGUCGCUCCUACCGAUGAAUUGUCCGGUGAAGUUCAUGGAGAGCUGUUUCACUGAGAUGUGCUUAAAGCGAGAUGAACCUAGCGGCUUAGAGGAAGGAGAANUCGUAACA